rnacentral:tRNA from 1 species
GCGGGUGUGGUGGAAUAGGUAGACACACAAGACUUAAAAUCUUGAGGCCAUUGGCCGUGACGGUUCGAGUCCGUCCACCCGCA